rnacentral:rRNA from 1 species
CCUACGGGAGGCUGCAGUGAGGAAUAUUGGUCAAUGGCCGGAAGGCUGAACCAGCCAAGCCGCGUGAAGGACGAAGGUGCCAAGCAUUGUAAACUUCUUUUGUCAAGGGACAAAAUCAGGCUCGAGAGCCUGACCGAGGGUACUUGAAGAAAAAGCAUCGGCUAACUCCGUGCCCGCAGCCGCGGUAAUCCGGAGGAUGCGAGCGUUAUCCGGAUUGAUGGGGUUUAAAGGGUCCGUAGGCGGACUGUUAAGUCAGAGGUAAAAGCCCGGGGCUCAACCCCGGCGAGCCGUUGAAACUGGCUGUCUUGAGAUGUCGAGAGGUAUGCGGAAUGCGGAGUGUAGCGGUGAAAUGCUUAGAUAUUGCGCAGAACUCCGAGUGCGAAGGCAGCAUACCGGCGGCGAUCUGACGCUGAGGCACGAAAGCGUGGGUAUCGAACAGGAGUAGAUACCCGAGUAGUC